rnacentral:rRNA from 1 species
UACGUAGGGUGCGAGCGUUAAUCGGAAUUACUGGGCGUAAAGCGUGCGCAGGCGGUUCGUUGUGUCGGUGGUGAAAGCCCCGGGCUUAACCUGGGAAUGGCCAUGGAAACUGGCGAACUGGAGUGUGGCAGAGGGGGGUGGAAUUCCGCGUGUAGCAGUGAAAUGCGUAGAGAUGCGGAGGAACACCGAUGGCGAAGGCAGCCCCCUGGGCUAGCACUGACGCUCAGGCACGAAAGCGUGGGGAGCAAACGGG